rnacentral:pre_miRNA from 1 species
UUUUGCCUGUGUGUGGAUAGUGUUCAGCACCAAGGACAGGUAUGUUUGUCUGGGUAUGGAUGGUGUUCAGCACCAAGGACAGGUAUGUUUGUCU